AUGUUGUCCCCCGCUCUGGAGUUGGUGUGUUGGAACGUGCGAGGUCUCAACAGCUCGGUCAAGAAGAAGGCACUCCGGGAGUUUGCGGAUACGGAUCACCCUUCAAUUUUUUGUAUCCAAGAGACUAAACUCGCCUGUAUUGAUACAUUCACGGUGAUGCAAUGUCUAGGCCUAGCGUAUGAUGGGUUUUAUUACUUACCUGCUUCUGACACUAGGGGAGGAGUCCUUUUAGCC
rnacentral:rRNA from 1 species